rnacentral:rRNA from 1 species
GACGAACGCUGGCGGCGUGCUUAACACAUGCAAGUCGAACGGAAAGGCCCUGCUUUUGUGGGGUGCUCGAGUGGCGAACGGGUGAGUAACACGUGAGUAACCUGCCCUUGACUUUGGGAUAACUUCAGGAAACUGGGGCUAAUACCGGAUAGGAGCUCCUGCUGCAUGGUGGGGGUUGGAAAUUUUCGGCGGUUGGGGAUGGACGCGCGGCUUAUCAGCUUGUUGGUGGGGUAGUUGCUUACCAAGGCUUUGACGGGUAGCCGGCCUGAGAGGGUGAACGGCCACAUUGGGACUGAGAUACGGCGCAGACUCGUACGGGAGGCAGCAGUGGGGAAUAUUGCACAAUGGGCGGAAGCCUGAUGAAGCAACGCCGCGUGCGGGAUGACGGCCUUCGGGUUGUAAACCGCUUUCGCCUGUGACGAAGCGUGAGUGACGGUAGUGGGUAAAGAAGCACCGGCUAACUACGUG